rnacentral:rRNA from 1 species
CGGUGUAGUUAAUAGCUGCAUCGUUUGACGUUAGCGACAGAAGAAGCACCGGCUAACUCCGUGCCAGCAGCCGCGGUAAUACGGAGGGUGCGAGCGUUAAUCGGAAUUACUGGGCGUAAAGCGCAUGCAGGUGGUUUGUUAAGUCAGAUGUGAAAGCCCGGGGCUCAACCUCGGAAUUGCAUUUGAAACUGGCAGACUAGAGUACUGUAGAGGGGGGUAGAAUUUCAGGUGUAGCGGUGAAAUGCGUAGAGAUCUGAAGGAA